rnacentral:rRNA from 1 species
AUGCGUACAGAGGUUAUCAAGGCGGACACCAUUGAUGUGGCCGUCGACAGGAUUCUCGUUGAACUUGGGAAAGACACUACAAGCAGCAGAGAGAAUGCCAUCUACUUUGAUGGCUGGGAUGGUCUUGGGGCAUCUGCUGUCCUGCAAGCCGUAGCCAAACGCCUCGGAGUAUCAAAUGAGCCGUGGACAAGGCCUGCAGGGCUGGUGUUUGAGAAAAUCAUCCACAUUGACUGCUCAAAGUGGGAAGGCAGAAGAGCGAUGCAGAGGAAAAUAGCAGAGCAGCUGAACCUUCCCAAUUGGGUGAUGGAGAUGUUUGACAAGCAAGAUGAGCUGGAUGAUAUAAAUGGGUUAGAUGAGGGCUCCCGAACUGAGAUAGCACAAGUUGUCAGAGAGAUCUAUCAAACCACACAGAAUCGGAGAUUCUUGGUGAUUCUGCAUAAUGGAGGCAAUGAGGAGAUUGAUAUAUUCAAUUUUGGCCUUUCUCUAUAUGGAUAUGCCAAUAGCAAGAUGCUGUGGACUUUCCGAGGGAGGUUUCGGCUUGACCCCAAGAUGACAGACAACGUGAAGAGCACAACAACACAUGUUCUUCUUUCAGCUUCAAGAUAUGGGCGAGAUCCGCAAGAGCUUUGGUCUUAUCUAGUUCACCAUGAGGCUGCACAACUUUCCUGCUAUAAGCAUAGCUGUAUCUUCAUAGAUUCAGCGAUUGCUGCUGAGUGUGUCUUGUAUAUGCUGAAACAGUGCUGCAUCGGCUCUCACAUCGUCGACUACGACUGGGCUAUACACACCAGUAAUUAUUGGGUAUGCGAUGGGAUCAUCCCAGUGACAGACAUUGACAAGGCAUGGGAAGUUGGUGAUGUUGUACAGCAUGAGGUACGGUUGUUGAACAAUGACAAUCGACUUAGUAAUGAUGAAUCAACAGUAAUGCUAUCCUCUCACCUGACAAAGUCAGCUGAGCGCAUGCCAUACUGUAUUUCAACAGCAACUUGUGGAUUUGUACAGAGCCGCUUCAGUGUUAUUCUCGAAAACAUGUUUCAACACUCGCACGGGCUCCGCGUGCUCAAGCUCUCAUGGUGCACCUUCAAUUUCUCAUCGCCUCCAUUCCUCUGUUGCCAUAGCUUGAGGUUCCUGUGGCUUGAGCACUGCCAAGAUGAUCUAACAAGAAUUACCAUAAAUCAUCACCACACAGAUGAAGACAAAUUGAAGGAUGAGUUGGACAACAACAACACCGCUAGAUCGUGCUCAUGCUUUCAAAACUUGUGGGUGCUUGACCUGCGGUACACAGAUUGUGAUCAGAUCUUGUCAGCAAGCAUGAUGGAUCUCAUGACCCAGCUCAGGGAGCUAAACGUGAUGGGUGCUGAAAACUGGGAUAUGAGCCAUUUGCGAGGACGGCUCUGUAACAUUCGCAAGCUCCGGGUAACAAAGUCCACCUGCUUCUUCAACAACAACAUGUUGUCAGAGAUGGAAAGGAUGGAGCUUCUUGAUUUUUCGGGAAAUGACAUCACACAAGGCAUGACAUGCUUAUCUGGGCCAGCAAGCAACGGUAGCCUUAAGAGCGUCAUUAUUGAUGGAUGUGAUGGGUUGAAAAAUAUCUCUUUUAGGGGAUGCAAAGAAUUGGCAAACGUGGUGUUGAAAGGAUUAUUGAGGGGUCUCGAGGAGCUGGAACUCUCAGGCACAAGAGUGAAAAUCCUCAACCUUGGAGGAGUCAGAUACGUCCCCAAGCGGAUCGUCCUGCUAGACUCUGAGAAGCUCCGUGCAAUAUUGUGGCCAAGGAGUAUGAUAGUUGGUUGGCGAGAAAACUGGCCGAGAGUGGUGCACAUUGACACAACCUCACCAUCAACACCAGCUUAUAGUGGGGAGGCACCACUUGCACAUCCACAAGCUGAUCCAUCCCUCCACCAGCAGAAAGAAGAAAUGUUUAAGGGUGGAUGGCAGAUUUCUGUUACGGACACUAGGCUCCUUAGGUCUCUUUGUCCCUUAGGCAGUGGUUUUUUAGCGGAGUCAUCAUUACAUAUUGAUAUAUAUGCCGCAGCAAAUAUCCAAGGAACAAGCUGCUACGAACUAGUGCAAGUACAAACGCAUAAAAGUACCAUAAUGGACUCCAAGUACAAAGAUGUACUGAAGAAUGGCCCAGUUGCAGAUUUGAUGGUGUGGGACUGCCCCAAGAUUUACAUUCGUUCACUUGAAUAUACAGUUAUGAUAAAGGUGAUCAUGGAGGACAACAAACUUUUGGAGGAUGCUCCAGGUGCUAGUACUAACGCAUUAUUAUUUCCUUCCUGUAUACAUUGUCGGGCUACAUCUAUGCACAUGUAUGAUAACGCCUCCGUCACCAGUAUCUCCGUGCCUGAAGAAGGUUGGGAUAUGCUAGGAUGGUGCCGGGUGGAAAGGUGCCCCAAGUUACACACAGUUUUUGCUGUUCCCCGGUACGGUGAAUACACCUUUCGUGAGCUGGAGACAUUCUGGGCAUCCCAGCUCCUCUCUGCACGCUACAUCUGGGACAUGCCAGUUGAAGCAUACUCUUUCAUCCUGAAGUUCUUACACCUGGACCACUGUCCCAUGCUCGUACAUGUACUCCCCUUAUGCCUGGGCUAUUGGACAGGGUUGCGUGGUUUGGAAACCCUUGAGAUAGUGUAUUGUGGUGAUCUCACGGAGGUAUUCCCCUUGAGCGCUGAGCUUCAAGAGCAGGAUAAAAUUAACGAAUUUCCCAAGCUGAGGCGAAUACACCUGCAUGAGCUCCCCGUGCUGCAGCGCAUCUGUGGACGCAGGAUAUUUGCGCCUAAACUCGAGACCAUCAAGAUCAGGGGCUGCUGGAGCCUUAGGCGCCUGCCUGCCGUCGGACAAAACACCAAGCCGCCCAAGGUGGACUGCGAGAAGGAAUGGUGGGACAACCUGGAGUGGGAUGGGUUGGAGGAGAACCACCAUCCUUCCCUCUACGAGCCAACCCACUCGUUGUACUGCAAGAAGGCCCAGCUGCCCAGAGGUACCGUACUCAGGUAA